rnacentral:lncRNA from 1 species
AUCCCACACCUAUGAGCCCAAGGGGAAAGUCAUAACCAGGCUUCGGCAUAAACCAUUUUGUUUCCUCUGACACUUUUAGGUCUCCUAAAAUGUAUGAGACCAUGCUAAUAAAAUCUAAAUUUUCUACUUAGCUUUUUAAAAAACAUCUCUCUUUCCUUAAGAGUAAAAUUUGGAACGACUAGAAAGCAUGCCUUCUUCCUGCUUUAUCAUUCAAAUUCCCUAGGCACAGACAAUAAAACUCUAUCUAAAGCAAAAGUCAAUGGAUAUAUCACCCUGGACAGAGGAUGACUUGUUUUUUUGCCAAUUUGGCUCAUUUCACCAAUCGCUGAUGAAUCACAAAGAUCCAGAAGACCUAUUGGUUUGAAAAUAGAACACCAGGGAUGCCAGAAACAAGAUUUUUAAAGUUCCUAUAAGAUCAGAAAUGAGCCCAAAUGAAUACAGUCAAGUUGAUGGAGGCUCCAAUGUGAAGUUCUGCCUAGUUGAUCCAU